AACCCAUGUUAUGGACAUUUCUAUAAGAUGCCCUUGAAUCACUCCCAAGUCCCAAACAAGGAUUCAAGCUCCAUAUGAACAAAUGAAGAUAUCUUAUUUCGAAGCUU